AUUGAACGCUGGCGGCAGGCCUAACACAUGCAAGUCGAACGAGUGGCGGACGGGUGAGUAAUGUCUGGGACACUGCCUGAUGGAGGGGGAUAACUACUGGAAACGGUAGCUAAUACCGCAUACCAUCGGAUGUGCCCCGAUGGGAUUAGCUUGUAGGUGGGGUAAAGGCUCACCUAGGCGACGAUCCCUAGCUGGUCUGCGAGGAUGACCAGCCACACUGGAACGUGGACACGGUCCCAGAGCCUAAGGGAGGCAGCAGUGGGGAAUAGUGCACAAUGGGGGGAAGCCUGAUGCAGCCAUGCCUCGUGUAUGAAGAAGGCCUUCGGGUUGUAAAGUACUUUCAGUGGGGGGGCGGUACCCGCAGAAGAAGCACCGGCUAACUCCGUGCCAGCAGCCGCGGUAAUUC
rnacentral:rRNA from 1 species